UCAGCCAAAGAACGAGUUGCCGUUACAUU
rnacentral:sRNA from 1 species